UCAUGGCUCAGCUCAGCUCUGCCCAGCGGUGGGUCUCUGCUGGAGCAGCUGGAGCUGCUCUGCUCUGAUACGGGGCAGUGCAGGGCCCCACACAGAGACGGCAGCCCCCACCCCCUGCAACAAAAACCUGCCGUGUAAAUCCAAUAAACAGGAAAACAUCACCUGCCCCUCCCUGGGAACAGGACAGAGGUGAAGACAUCCAGCAAGGGUGGCACGGAUCUGAUGAGCGCAACCAACCCAUCGUGCUCUGCUUUCGGGGUAGGGGUGGGGACACCCCCUGCCGCCCCUCCUGCACCGCCGGUUGGGCAGUAGGGCUGCGUACACCCCACACCUGUACCCGCAGUGGGCGCGUCCCCCUCCCUCACUACCAGGGAGAGGAUACAAUACCGUAGGGGGGGCACACAGCUCCCGCCUACCCCGAGGGGACUCGGCAGCUCUUCUCUCAGCUCCGCCGCAGCCGCCGGUCCCGGGUCCCCGCUGCUGCAGCCGGGCGCCCACCCCAUGGCUGCGGGACGGGUCGGAGCCGUGCCUCCACCCCCACUGCUGCUACUGCUGCUGGCGCUGCCCGGCCUGGGGCCGGCGGGUGAGAACACAGAGUUGCCUCCCUUCUCUGCCACAGGAGGACAGCACUCCAUCCCAGAGGAUACGGUGUCACCAGUUCUCAGUGCUACAGUCAUAAUCAUUGUCACCGUCAUCAUAUCUGGGAGUGCUUACCUGUGUUUCCUGAAAUAUAUCUGCUCUGGAUGCUGCAAAGCUACACAGGUGGUACCUACCAGAAGACUUGAUCCUAGCAGGUCUGAAGAACAAGUCUAGCCUCACCUUGGCAUCAUAUCAGGUGAUCAUUGAGCUGUGGUAAUAGUUACUGCUGUAACUAUGAAAUAUCAGGAAGCAAAGGAGACUGAUAUUCAGUGAGUAGCAACUAACUAUGCUUCCAAUAACCUCUAUGCUUUCAAUGAGCGUGCCGUUAUCUGACUGGAAUAACUUUUUAAUAGUUAUUCUUGACAUUUGCUAUUUGUAAGUUAGUUGUAGGAUUCUGUUUUUAAGCUAUGUCAAAGAGGCAGGAGGGAAUAAAGUAGUACUUUGUUCUGCCGUGCUGAGUGUAAUGAUAAGCUGGAUCUUGAUCUGCUGUCCUAGGAUGACACAGUAUUCAACCUAGAACACAUAAGAUGAAACAUCCAGAAUUUCUCGUGGAUGAUGGAUGAUGGAUCCCACUGAGGGAUGUGGUUUAAUGAGCAUGGUGGUGAUGAGUUGAUGGUUGGACUUUGUGAUCUGAGAGGUCUUUUCCAACCUUAAUGAUUCUGUGUUUGGUUUGUUCUGUUCUAUGUUUGUUCUAUUUAAUAUGAAGGAUUUCCCAUUUUAUUUCCUUUGUACAGGUAGUUGGUUUUUCCUGGGAAGGAAAAUAAGGAAUCUUCUUCAGAAGUUUUCUGGUGAAUUGCUAAUACAGGUCACAUUUUCCAGCACUAUUUGGCACUCAUUGAAAAUGUCUUUCAUUCUCUUAUAAAAUAUGGUUCAAUCCAUUUUCCUUGAUACUCCUCUGCUUUCCUAUUUGAUAAUGAACACAGAGUUCUAGAGAUCUGUCAUUGGUAUCAAACAUUCUCUAUAGGUGCAGUGAGAGAGAAAGGGAACAAGUCUGGAUAACUUGAGUGUAUCUGAAUUUGACAAACACAAACUGGACAAACUUUUGGAGCUCCAAAGCUUUGGUCUCCAUAUACAGGUAUCUGAAUGACACGCUACAGUUUGCAUUACUCAGAGGGCAAAAUAGAUGAUUUAAUGACUCUCUGACAUUAAAUAUGUGCCAACAAGUACUCACAUUUCUGGCAGCAAUAAACCUCUAAAAGUACACGCAUUGCAUUUUCCAUGCUGUGGAAACAUUUCUUAUUUGCCUUGUAACCAAGCUGCUGUUGGGCAUCCAUCAGCACCACAACUAUAUUGAACACUCUGCAAAGUUCUCAGCUGAUAUCCAGUUAAGUGAACGCCUGAAACACAUUAGCUGAGGUGGGGGUGGAAGGAUGAAAUAAGAAAUGAACGUGAAGUUUUCUGACAGCAAAUGUGUUGGGCCCUUUCCUGGGAUCAGCUGAGAAAAUGGUGUUCGGAAAACAUAACAGUGGAAUGGCUCUUCUUGGUGCAUGUCAGCUUCAGAUGAGCAGGGAAGCACCGAAAACCUUUUUAGGAAGAAAAAGGAAAUUGUGACGUUUGCCAUGCUGAUCCAAAAGGGAAAGAAGUGAAGAUAAAUAAGAGUAAACAUCCAGAUGGCCUGUUUGUGAACCACUGGCAUCAAGUCUUUGAAAUGUGUGUUGUUUACCAUUAGCAUGAUCACUUCCUGGUUAAAACAAAACCUAAACACUUGUGGUCUUUGUUUUUACAGCAAGAAGCUCAAAAAAAUAUAAGGGAUAUUUGAAAUACCCAUGAGGAAAAUCUGAAAGAGAAACAAACUCUAUUUUACAAAUCUGCAUGCAUGGGAUGAGCCAGCUCACAGUUUUUGAAGAGCUGGAUUGCCAACACUGGAUGCCAGGCAGGUUUUGGACCUAAUCUACAUCCUUUGGACAUCCAACACUCCUAAUCCAACUGUGAAGUUGAAAUACAAGAGCCAGAACCAAUGUUAUUGUGGGAGAGAGCCAACAAAAAACAAUGCAGGCCUGCAUUCAGAUCUGGAUAUAAUUGCAGGGAUAAAAUGCAUUAUAUUUAUACAGAUUUCACCUGCUAUAUCUACAGUAUUUACAUUCAAAUAAAUGGUCAUUUAUUGUGCCAAGUCAACACUGCAUAUUGCGGUUUGCCUCUUAAAUCUCCAUGUAUCUCAGUAGCUGUGUGUAGCUAUGUCACUAAUAGUAAGAUCUGUUUUGUACCAGAUGAAGGCUGACCUUGAGAAAUCUAUUUCACAGCUGUGCGUGCUGGUGAAGAAAACAAAUUUUGAUUUCUCUGUGUGUAAAAUGACUGUUGUGUUUCUAUCUGUAAGAAUUUCCAUGGCUCUUUAUUUCAUUCCAGAUGGCUAUUUGUGAAUAUCAUCCAGCAAGCAUCAGUGGUCCAAGAAAAGACCGCGAGUUCUGCUGGCAGCUGUAAAUAUAUGCUGGUGGUUGACAAUCUUUUGACGGCUAUAUUGACAAUAUUGUAUUUGGCCUUUUGAUUGGACUCUUUCCAUUAAAACCUUCUCACACAUUUGGAGCAUUUCUGACUGAUACCCCCAAAUAAAGUCAUCACAUGCGUAACUCUA